rnacentral:rRNA from 1 species
UACGGAGGGGGCUAGCGUUGUUCGGAAUUACUGGGCGUAAAGCGCGCGUAGGCGGCUUUGUAAGUUAGAGGUGAAAGCCCGAAGCUCAACUUCGGAAUUGCCUUUAAGACUGCAUCGCUAGAAUUGUGGAGAGGUAAGUGGAAUUCCGAGUGUAGAGGUGAAAUUCGUAGAUAUUCGGAAGAACACCAGUGGCGAAGGCGACUUACUGGACACAUAUUGACGCUGAGGCGCGAAAGCGUGGGGAGCAAACAGG